AGAUGGGACAGAACCAAAAAUCUUUGAUCUACGCCUUCGUUUCUCGCGGAAGCGUGAUUCUCUCUGAAUACACCGAAUUCAGCGGAAACUUCAACUCGAUCGCGUUUCAGUGCCUUCAGAAGCUUCCAGCUUCCAACAACAAAUUCACCUACAACUGUGAUGGCCACACCUUCAAUUACCUCGUCGAUAAUGGCUACAGUUCGUACUUUUCACCUUUCUCAUCCUAAUUCAUUUCAUUUUCAUUUCCGAUCUAUCAAAAUCGCAGUCCUAAACACGUUUUUAUGAACAAAUCGAUAACCUAGAAAUUAGUUACAUCAGUAUAUGCUCGCUAAUUUUACUAUAAAAAGUGAUAUUAGGUUAGGGUUGUACUUUAUUGAAAUUCAUGUUUUAUAUGUUUAAUUAAUUAAUCAUGUAGAGGUUAAUUUUUAAGUUCCGUGUCGAAUUUGGUGAG
rnacentral:lncRNA from 1 species